rnacentral:rRNA from 1 species
GAUGAACGCUGGCGGCGUGCCUAAUACAUGCAAGUCGAGCGAACAGACGAGGAGCUUGCUCCUCUGACGUUAGCGGCGGACGGGUGAGUAACACGUGGAUAACCUACCUAUAAGACUGGGAUAACUUCGGGAAACCGGAGCUAAUACCGGAUAAUAUAUUGAACCGCAUGGUUCAAUAGUGAAAGACGGUUUUGCUGUCACUUAUAGAUGGAUCCGCGCCGCAUUAGCUAGUUGGUAAGGUAACGGCUUACCAAGGCAACGAUGCGUAGCCGACCUGAGAGGGUGAUCGGCCACACUGGAACUGAGAAACGGUCCAGACUCCUACGGGAGGCAGCAGUAGGGAAUCUUCCGCAAUGGCGAAAGCCUGACGGAGCAACGCCGCGGGAGUGAUGAAGGUCUUCGGAUCGUAAAACUCUGUUAUUAGGGAAGAACAAAUGUGUAAGUAACUAUGCACGUCUUGACGGUACCUAAUCAGAAAGCCACGGCUAACUACGUG